CCAACGUACCUACUUACCAUAACUACUAUUUUUAAUUGUCAACUAUUUUUUUAAGGAUUACGUAUAUACAUUAUCAAUAUGUAUGACAAAAAAUAUUCAUUCGAGUUGCAACAUUGUGAGAUAUAAUGGUUAUUACUAAGACAUAUUGCCAAAAUAAAUGCUUAUCUGAGACAUUCAACUCAAUUUAUCUUGUAACAUGCAAAAGGGCAUGGUUCAAUAAAUUAAUUUCAUACCUACUUAAUGAAUUAUGAGAAAUAGCCUUAAUGUGCAGAAAUAAUGUCAAGUU